GACGAACGCUGGCGGCGUGCCUAACACAUGCAAGUCGAACGGAAAGGCCCUGCUUUUGUGGGGUGCUCGAGUGGCGAACGGGUGAGUAACACGUGAGUAACCUGCCCUUGACUUUGGGAUAACUUCAGGAAACUGGGGCUAAUACCGGAUAGGAGCUCCUGCUGCAUGGUGGGGGUUGGAAAGUUUCGGCGGUUGGGGAUGGACUCGCGGCUUAUCAGCUUGUUGGUUGGGUAGUGGCUUACCAAGGCUUUGACGGGUAGCCGGCCUGAGAGGGUGACCGGCCACAAUAGGACUGAGAUACGGCCCAGACUCCUACGGGAGGCAACAGUGGGGAAUAUUACACAAUGGGAGGAAGCAUGAUGCAGCAACGCCGCGUGCGGGAUGACGGCCUGCGGGUUGUAAACCGCUUUCGCCUGUGACGAAGCGUGAGUGACGGUAAUGGGUAAAGAAGCACCGGCUAACUACGUG
rnacentral:rRNA from 1 species